rnacentral:rRNA from 1 species
GAUGAACGCUGGCGGCGUGCCUAAUACAUGCAAGUCGAGCGAACAGAUGAGGAGCUUGCUCCUCUGACGUUAGCGGCGGACGGGUGAGUAACACGUGGAUAACCUACCUAUAAGACUGGGAUAACUUCGGGAAACCGGAGCUAAUACCGGAUAAUAUAUUGAACCGCAUGGUUCAAUAGUGAAAGACGGUUUUGCUGUCACUUAUAGAUGGAUCCGCGCCGCAUUAGCUAGUUGGUAAGGUAACGGCUUACCAAGGCAACGAUGCGUAGCCGACCUGAGAGGGUGAUCGGCCACACUGGAACUGAGACACGGUCCAGACUCCUACGGGAGGCAGCAGUAGGGAAUCUUACGCAAAGGGCGAAAGCUUGACGGAGCAACGCCGCGUGAGUGAUGAAGGUCUUCGGAUCGUAAAACUCUGUUAUUAGGAAAGAACAAAUGUGUAAGUAACUAUGCACGUCUUGACGGUACCUAAUCAGAAAGCCACGGCUAACUACGUG